AACGGCCGCGGUAUUUUGACCGUGCAAAGGUAGCGCAAUCACUUGUCUUUUAAAUGAAGACCUGUAUGAAUGGCAUAACGAGGGCUUAACUGUCUCCUUUUUCCUAUCAAUGAAAUUGAUCUCCCCGUGCAGAAGCGGGGAUUUAAACAUAAGACGAGAAGACCCUAUGGAGCUUAAAACGCAAGAACAGAACAUGUCACUUUAUGUAAUCUAAAAAUAAAAUCUAUUGAAAACUGUCCAAGUGUUUUUGGUUGGGGCGACCACGGAGUAAAACAAAACCUCCAUGAGGAAUAAAGAUUUUCCUUUUGAUUUAAGGAUGACAAUCCUAAAAACCAGAAUUUUUGACCACUUAGAUCCGGUUUAGACCGAUCAACGGACCGAGUUACCCUAGGGAUAACAGCGCAAUCCUCUUUUAGAGCCCAUAUCGACAAGAGGGUUUACGACCUCGAUGUUGGAUCAGGACAUCCUAAU
rnacentral:rRNA from 1 species